rnacentral:lncRNA from 1 species
UUCACACAUAUCCACUCACUCACAUAUGUUAUGUGACAAAUCACUGUAUAAUAAAACACAACAAUGGUUGAAUCCAAAUUGUUUUACAAUUAUUAUAAUUAUAUGUUUUAUAAUUAAAAAAAUCAAAUUCUGGUGCCACUCCCAAUCUUGUCUGUCGAUUGUAAAUUUGAGGUAGGUUUUGUUUUUUUAUCUCUCCUAAGUGGGAGUAGGUUAUUCUAUUUUGAAUUCGUGUUUCGCUUUUGAAUUAUAUUAUGGUUGCGCUUUUGAUUUCGCGUUUCGUUUUUCAGGUUGGAUAUUAAUAUUUGAAAUGGUUAUGAACUAGAACAUUAGAGUAUGGUAUGUUGGGUUACAUGUUUAAAUGAAAACGGUUUUGAAAUGUUAUGACGCUAAUUAGGGCGAACAUGGAUUGUAUGGAUUAGCGGUGUCAAAGAAUGUAAAUUUUAUUAGGCGUGUCAAAGAAUUAUUAUGCUUAAGAAUAAGAUAUUAAAACUAAGAUGUAUAGGGAGAGAAAGAAAGAAAGACAUGGUGAGACAUCCCUUGUUUGAGACAUGGGAAUUUAGAUGAAUUCUAUUCUUCUUUAAAAGACCUCCAAUAGUAAGUCACCUUCUGCACCUAUCCUCCCCUUCAAAUUUUCCCUUUCAAUAUAUUAAUUAUUUAAAUAUAUGGAAUUUUGAGCAAUGUUACCUAAACUAUUUAGAUGUAUAAUUACUUCUUUUUCUUCUGACUAAAAUCAUGCUGAUAACGAGUAUCCUUGUUUUUUGAUGUUGCAAAAGUACAAGAUAGGCUAUAAUAUACGACUUUAUACAAGGAAAACUUUAUCUCUAAAGGUUAAG